rnacentral:rRNA from 1 species
AGAGGAGCUUGCUCCUUGGGUGACGAGUGGCGGACGGGUGAGUAAUGUCUGGGGAUCUGCCCGAUAGAGGGGGAUAACCACUGGAAACGGUGGCUAAUACCGCAUAACGUCGCAAGACCAAGAGGGGACCUUCGGGCCUCUUGCCAUCAGAUGUGCCCAGAUGGGAUUAGCUAGUAGGUGGGGUAACGGCUCACCUAGGCGACGAUCCCCUAGCUGGUCUGAGAGGAUGACCCAGCCACACUGGAACUGAGACACGGUCCAGACUCC